CAAUUAAAGCUGGUUAAAGGAACUUUUAUUUUGGAAAAAGAACUGCUGCUGUUUCAAGACAUGCGCACUAGCUGCGACAUCUAGUGACGACAUUUACCGGGCUUUAACGGUUGUUGCUGCAUGAAGUCUGCUGCAAUUUCUCUGAGAUUUCUCAAGAUCAUCAGUUUGGACAGAAUUCAUUUGAAGAAUUAAUAGCACUAGCAGGUUCCAAUAAAGGCUGGAACAGAACAGACAGAAAAGAAUCUGUCAGAAGAAAUUCAACUACUGUUCGUGCACCAGAUGGUAAAGUAGAAAAGUUCGUAAAAACUUCUACAGCUUGCAUCUGAAAAAGAUGCAAAAAGAAUAAGAGAGCGGGCCUGAAAACAAGCAAAUUUAAGUCUUUCCUUCUUUUAGGGUACACUUGAGGAGUGUCCAGAUGUUUAUUAAUGUUUUAUUAAUGUAAUGUUAUGUUUCAAAUAAACAUGUAAACAAACUGUAUAUUUUUCUUUCUUUUUUAAAC